GACGAACGCUGGCGGCGUGCUUAACACAUGCAAGUCGAACGGUAAGGCCCUUCGGGGUACACGAGUGGCGAACGGGUGAGUAACACGUGGGUGAUCUGCCCUGCACUUCGGGAUAAGCCUGGGCAACUGGGUCUAAUACCGGAUAGGACCCUGGGAUGCAUGUCCUGGGGUGGAAAGCUUUUGCGGUGUGGGAUGGGCCCGCGGCCUUUCAGUUUGUUGGGGGGGUGAUGGCCUACAAAGGCGACGACGGGUGGCCGGCCGCUGAGAGGGUGACCGGACACACUGGGACUGAGAUACGGCCCAGACUCCUACGGGAGGCAGCAGUGGGGAAUAUUGCACAAUGGGCGCAAGCCUGAUGCAGCGACGCCGCGUGAGGGAUGACGGCCUUCGGGUUGUAAACCUCUUUCAGCACCGACGAAGCGCAAGUGACGGUAGGUGCAGAAGAAGGCCGGCCAACUACGUGCCAGCCGCCGCGGUAA
rnacentral:rRNA from 1 species